rnacentral:rRNA from 1 species
ACAGCUCAGAUUUGAAAUCGGCCCACCGGUCGAGUUGUAAUCUGUAGAGGAUGCUUCGGGGCAGCGGCCGGUCUAUGUCCCUUGGAACAGGGCGUCACAGAGGGUGAGAAUCCCGUACGUGACCGGCGCGCACCCCACACGUAGCUCCUUCGACGAGUCGAGUUGUUUGGGAAUGCAGCUCUAAAUGGGAGGUAAAUUUCUUCUAAAGCUAAAUACCGGCCAGAGACCGAUAGCGCACAAGUAGAGUGAUCGAAAGAUGAAAAGCACUUUGGAAAGAGAGUUAAAAAGCACGUGAAAUUGUUGAAAGGGAAGCGCCCGCUACCAGCCUCGUCGGCGGUGUUCCGCCGGUCUUCUGACCGGUCUACUCAUCGUCGACGGGCCAACAUCGUCUGGGGCCGCUGGAUAAGACCGUGGGAAUGUAGCUCCUCGGAGUGUUAUAGCCCGCGGUGAUGCAGCGAGUCCCGGGCGAGGUCUGCGCUUCGGCAAGGAUGUUGGCGUAAUGGUAGUCGGCGGC